rnacentral:rRNA from 1 species
AUGUUCGAGCAGUUUGGACAUAUACUCUAUGAGUGCGGUGCAUACCAAGUUGAGGAGCUUGAGAAAGGGAAACUGUAUCUUGUGAUUCAUACAGAGGCUGCAAGGAGAGAAAAGUGGUGUAGGGUGUCAUAUAAGGUAAAUGUUCUUGAAGGAGGUGAGGAAUUCGAUUGCGAGUGUGGGCAAUUUGCACACAUGGGACUCCUUUGUAGCCAUGUUUUGAAGGUAUUGUUAGUACACAAAUCAAGCAUGCGUUGCCAGAUACAUAUAUAUUCUGUGAAGUAUGUGGUAAACUAA